GAUGAAGAACGUAGCGAAAUGCGAUAAGUAAUGUGAAUUGCAGAAUUCAGUGAAUCAUCGAAUCUUUGAACGCACAUUGCGCCCGCCAGUAUUCUGGCGGGCAUGCCUGUCCGAGCGUCAUUUCAACCCUCGAAUCCCUCCGGGGGGUCGGCGUUGGGGAUCGGCCCUCCCUUAGCGGGUGGCCGUCUCCGAAAUACAGUGGCGGUCUCGCCGCAGCCUCUCCUGCGCAGUAGUUUGCACACUCGCAUCGGGAGCGCGGCGCGUCCACAGCCGUUAAACACCCAACUUCUGAAAUGUUGACCUCGGAUCAGGUAGGAAUACCCGCUGAACUUAAGCAUAUCAAUAAGCGGAGGA
rnacentral:misc_RNA from 1 species